rnacentral:rRNA from 1 species
UACCAGCUCUCCGAGUGGUAGGGAUGAUUAUUGGGCUUAAAGCGUCCGUAGCCGGCUUAGCAAGUCUCCUGUUAAAUUCAGCGACCUAAUCGUUGAGCCGCGGGAGACACUACUAGGCUAGGAGGCGGGAGAGGCCGACGGUAUUCUCGGGGUAGGGAUGAAAUCCUAUAAUCCCGGGAGGACCACCAGUGGCGAAGGCUGUCGGCUAGAACGCGCUCGACGGUGAGGGACGAAAGCUGGGGGAGCGAACCGGAUUAGAUACCCGGGUAGUCCCAGCUGUAAACGAUGCGGGCUAGGUGUUGGGGUGGCUACGAGCCACUUCAGUGCCGCAGGGAAGCCAUUAAGCCCGCCGCCUGGGGAGUACGGCCGCAAGGCUGAAACUUAAAGGAAUUGGCGGGGGAGCACCACAAGGCGUGAAGCUUGCGGUUC